rnacentral:rRNA from 1 species
CCUACGGGAGGCAGCAGUAGGGAAUCUUCCACAAUGGGCGAAAGCCUGAUGGAGCAACGCCGCGUGGGUGAAGAAGGUCUUCGGAUCGUAAAACCCUGUUGUUAGAGAAGAAAGUGCGUGAGAGUAACUGUUCACGUUUCGACGGUAUCUAACCAGAAAGCCCCGGCUAACUACGUGCCAGCAGCCGCGGUAAUACGUAGGUGGCAAGCGUUAUCCGGAUUUAUUGGGCGUAAAGGGAACGCAGGCGGUCUUUUAAGUCUGAUGUGAAAGCCUUCGGCUUAACCGGAGUAGUGCAUUGGAAACUGGGAGACUGGAGUGCAGAAGAGGAGAGUGGAACUCCAUGUGUAGCGGUGAAAUGCGUAGAUAUAUGGAAGAACACCAGUGGCGAAAGCGGCUCUCUGGUCUGUAACUGACGCUGAGGUUCGAAAGCGUGGGUAGCAAACAGGAUUAGAUACCCGAGUAGUC